rnacentral:tRNA from 1 species
UCCCGCGUAGCUCAAUUGGCAGAGCGUCCGACUGUUAACGGUAGGUUGCAGAUUCGAGUCCUGCCCCGGAAG